GCGGAAUAUUGGACAAUGGGCGCAAGCCUGAUCCAGCCAUGCCGCGUGCAGGAUGACGGUCCUAUGGAUUGUAAACUGCUUUUGUACAGGAAGAAACACUGGUUCGUGAACCAGCUUGACGGUACUGUAAGAAUAAGGAUCGGCUAACUCCGUGCCAGCAGCCGCGGUAAUACGGAGGAUCCAAGCGUUAUCCGGAAUCAUUGGGUUUAAAGGGUCCGUAGGCGGUUUGGUAAGUCAGUGGUGAAAGCCCAUCGCUCAACGGUGGAACGGCCAUUGAUACUGCCAGACUUGAAUUACUGGGAAGUAACUAGAAUAUGUAGUGUAGCGGUGAAAUGCUUAGAGAUUACAUGGAAUACCAAUUGCGAAGGCAGGUUACUACCAGUGGAUUGACGCUGAUGGACGAAAGCGUGGGUAGCGAAC
rnacentral:rRNA from 1 species